CCUACGGGAGGCUGCAGUGAGGAAUAUUGGUCAAUGGGCGAGAGCCUGAACCAGCCAAGUCGCGUGAAGGAUGACGGCCCUACGGGUUGUAAACUUCUUUUGUCAGGGAGCAAUUGAGUCCACGUGUGGGCUUAGCGAGAGUACCUGAAGAAAAAGCAUCGGCUAACUCCGUGCCAGCAGCCGCGGUAAUACGGGGGAUGCGAGCGUUAUCCGAAUUUAUGGGGGUUAAAGGGUGCGUUGGCGGAAUAUCAAGUCAGCGGUAAAAAGUCGGGGCUCAACCCCGUCGUGCCGUUGAAACUGAUGUUCUUGAGUGGGCGAGAAGUAUGCGGAAUGCGUGGUGUAGCAGUGAAAUGCAUAGAUAUCGCGCAGAACUCCGAUUGCGAAGGCAGCAUACCGGCGCCCAACUGACGCUGAAGCACGAAAGCGUGGGUAUCGAACAGGAUUAGAUACCCCAGUAGUC
rnacentral:rRNA from 1 species